rnacentral:piRNA from 1 species
UUCCAGAAACUGGUGGAAUUUCUUCCUGC